AUGCUUGCUUCAGCAGCACAUAUACUAAAACUGGAAUGAUACAGAGAAGAUUAGCAUGGCCCCUGUGCAAGGAUGACACACAAUUUGUGAAAUGUUCCAUAUUUCA
rnacentral:snRNA from 1 species